GGCUCGAUAGCGGACGGUACGCACCUGCGUUCCGUAGAAAAUUUGUCGAAGAAUUACGCAGGAGAUCCCCGUUCGACUCGGGGUCGAGCCG